rnacentral:rRNA from 1 species
GACGAACGCUGGCGGCGUGCUUAACACAUGCAAGUCGAACGAGAAUCUGCUGAAGGAGGAUUCGUCCAACGGAUGUAGAGGAAAGUGGCGGACGGGUGAGUAACGCGUGAGGAACCUGCCUUGAAGAGGGGGACAACAGUUGGAAACGACUGCUAAUACCGCAUGACGCAUAGAGGUCGCAUGAUCUUUAUGCCAAAGAUUUAUCGCUUCAAGAUGGCCUCGCGUCUGAUUAGCUAGUUGGCGGGGUAACGGCCCACCAAGGCGACGAUCAGCAGCCGGACUGAGAGGUUGAACGGCCACAUUGGGACUGAGAUACGGCCCAGACUCCUACGGGAGGCAGCAGUGGGGAAUAUUGGGCAAUGGGCGCAAGCCUGACCCAGCAACGCCGCGUGAAGGAAGAAGGCUUUCGGGUUGUAAACUUCUUUUAAGAGGGUAAGAGCAGAAGACGGUACCUCUAGAAUAAGCCACGGCUAACUACGUGCCAGCAGCCGACGG